GUGGGGAAUAUUGGACAAUGGGCGAAAGCCUGAUCCAGCCAUGCCGCGUGUGUGAUGAAGGUCUUCGGAUUGUAAAGCACUUUAAGUUGGGAGGAAGGGCAGUAAGUUAAUACCUUGCUGUUUUGACGUUACCGACAGAAUAAGCACCGGCUAACUUCGUGCCAGCAGCCGCGGUAAUACGAAGGGUGCAAGCGUUAAUCGGAAUUACUGGGCGUAAAGCGCGCGUAGGUGGUUUUGUAAGUUGGAGGUGAAAUCCCCGGGCUCAACCUGGGAACUGCCUCCAAAACUGCAUGACUAGAGUACGGUAGAGGGUAGUGGAAUUUCCUGUGUAGCGGUGAAAUGCGUAGAUAUAGGAAGGAACACCAGUGGCGAAGGCGACUACCUGGACUGAUACUGACACUGAGGUGCGAAAGCGUGGGGAGCAAACAGGAUUAGAAACCCGAGUAGUCC
rnacentral:rRNA from 1 species